rnacentral:misc_RNA from 1 species
GAUGAAGAACGUAGCGAAAUGCGAUAAGUAAUGUGAAUUGCAGAAUUCAGUGAAUCAUCGAAUCUUUGAACGCACAUUGCGCCCCUUGGUAUUCCGGGGGGCAUGCCUGUUCGAGCGUCAUGAUAACCCUCAAGCUCAGCUUGGUGUUGGGGCCUGCCUAUUAGCAGCCCUUAAAAUCAGUGGCGGUGCCAUCUGGCUCUAAGCGUAGUAAUUCUUCUCGCUAUGGAGUCCCGGUGGGUGCUUGCCAUCAACCUUAAAAAAACUUUUCUAUGGUUGACCUCGGAUCAGGUAGGGAUACCCGCUGAACUUAAGCAUAUCAAUAAGCGGAGGA